GCACGAGCGCAACCCUAUUGCCAGUUGCUACCAGGUAAUGCUGGCACUCUGGUGAGACUGCCCCGGUUAACGGGGAGGAAGGUGGGGACGACGUCAAGUCAUCAUGGCCCUUACGCCUAGGGCUACACACGUACUACAAUGGCGCAUACAAAGGGCAGCGAUACCGCGAGGUGGAGCCAAUCCCAAAAAGUAGCGUCCCAGUCCGGAUUGCAGUCUGCAACUCGACUGCAUGAAGUUGGAAUCGCUAGUAAUUCGAGAUCAGCAUGCUCGGGUGAAUGCGUUCCCGGGCCUU
rnacentral:rRNA from 1 species